CUAAGUAAACAGCCCCCAGCCGCUUUACCUGCAUGAAGCAAGAUGUUUGGGAGCACAGAGGCUGGGUGCUCCGCAGCACCCCUCGCAACCCAUUAUAACAACUACGUUGGGAACUGGAGGCUUGGUGACACUGGCAAGGUUUAGGCUAAGCCCCAGUUGCCAGUGACACCCCGUCUCUCCAUUAGCCACCCGGCAUGAGACCCCUUCAGCCCUGCUCUGCGUGUGCGCUGAAGUGACUUGCUACUGCCAGCACAGCUACAUUUAUAGAGGCCCUGAUCCUGUAGGAAUGCUUUGGUCCCCCCAUCUCUCAGAGCUGCCAGACGUGUGCAGUGUGGGAAGUACGUGUGUGGCUCCUGGGGAUUUCAGUGAGCAUGUUCCAUAAAGAAGUGUGAAAUUACCAAAGUGAUUGAGAGAAGCUAGCAGCAGCAGUCCAGAGCUCAGAGAGAUCUGCAGGCAGUUUCCAUCGUGCUGCGGUCUUACAAGUCAAACGCAAUCUGUGGGCACAGGUAGGAUUUGAGUUUUGGUUUUGAAAAGCUGGACAUACAGGAAUGGCAGUCAACUGAUUCUUUCCUAGGGCUCAAUGAGGCUUGGCUGAUGCCUAGAAGAUGAAAAUCUGUGCCAGGCACAUACUUUUUCCUCGGACUUCUUCCACAGGCAGACCUGCAAACUGAAGUGGAAGCCUCUCUGCUGGGCCAACCUGGCCAUCUCUCACAGUCUGCAAACAAAUAACCAGAGACAGCAGCCUUUCAGCCACACUUCUGCUGGGGCUGCUUGAAGAGGCAGCCUGGAAAAUUUGGAACGCCAUCAAUUCGUUUUAAAAUACCCACACAGACAGAAGCAGCAGGAC